GGGACCCGUCUUGAAACACGGACCAAGGAGUCUAGCAUGUGCGCGAGUCAUUGGGAUUUUUACUAAACCUAAAGGCGCAAUGAAAGUGAAGGUCCGCCUUGCGCGGACCGAGGGAGGAUGGACCGUCCCGAGGGACGGCCUCGCACUCCCGGGGCGUCUCGCUCUCAUCGCGAGAAGAGGCGCACCCAGAGCGUACACGCUGGGACCCGAAAGAUGGUGAACUAUGCCUGGUCAGGACGAAGUCAGGGGAAACCCUGAUGGAGGUCCGUAGCGAUUCUGACGUGCAAAUCGAUCGUCGGAACUGGGUAUAGGGGCGAAAGACUAAUCGAACCAUCUAGUAGCUGGUUCCCUCCGAAGUUUCCCUCAGGAUAGCUGGCGCUCGUUUCUCGCGAGUCUCAUUCGGUAAAGCGAAUGAUUAGAGGCAUUGGGGUCGAAACGGCCUCAACCUAUUCUCAAACUUUAAAUGGGUGAGAUCUCCGGCUUGCUUGAACUGUGAAGCCGCGAGUAUCGGAUCAGAGUGCCAAGUGGGCCACUUUUGGUAAGCAGAACUGGCGCUGUGGGAUGAACCAAACGCUGAGUUAAAGCGCCUAAAUCGACGCUUAUGGGAUACCAUGAAAGGCGUUGGUAACUUAAGACAGCAGGACGGUGGCCAUGGAAGUCGGAAUCCGCUAAGGAGUGUGUAAA
rnacentral:rRNA from 1 species